UGACCUGUGGUGUAACUGGCAACACAACUGAUUCUGGAUCAGUAGAGUCUAGGUUCGACCCCUAGCAGGUCAA
rnacentral:tRNA from 5 species